UGUUGAGGUGGCGUCCCAAUAGGUGGCACAUAGCAUGUUGCAUAGUGAAUGGUUCUUUUGAUGAGGUGGCAUGAUGUUGCAUUGGUUCCUUUGAUGAGAUGGCAUGAUAUGGUCGGCUCCUUAUGCUUGACUUCAUCCUGGUUGGCGUGCAUCCAUUGGUUGGAGUGGUGGUGAGGUGGUCAGCUGAUGUUGAUGUGGAUGCCGAGGUGGUGCUCCAAGGGUGUGCAAAGGUGGUGGUAGAAACAUGCAAGGUGGUAGUAGAAACAUGCAACCUGUCCUGUCUUGGC
rnacentral:lncRNA from 1 species